UACAGAGGUCUCGAGCGUUAGGCGGAAUCACUGGGCUUAAAGCGUGUGUAGGCGGAUCGUUAAGUGCCUUGUGAAAUCCCACGGCUCAACUGUGGAACUGCUUGGCAUACUGGCGGUCUUGAGCAACCUAGGGGCGAGCGGAACAAAUGGUGGAGCGGUGAAAUGCGUAGAUAUCAUUUGGAACGCCAAUGGUGAAAACAGCUCGCUGGGGGUUUGCUGACGCUGAGACACGAAAGCCAGGGGAGCAAACGGG
rnacentral:rRNA from 1 species